AGUGAACGCUGGCGGUAGGCCUAACACAUGCAAGUCGAACGGCAGCACAGUAAGAGCUUGCUCUUACGGGUGGCGAGUGGCGUACGGGUGAGGAAUACAUCGGAAUCUACUUUUUCUUGGGGGAUAACGUAGGGAAACUUACGCUAAUACCUCAUACGACCUACGGUUGUAAGCUUUGUAUCUUCGGACCUUGCGCUAUUUAAUUAGCCGAUUUCGGAUUAGCUUGUUGGCGGGGUAAAGGCCCACCAAGGCGACGAUCCGUAGCUGGUCUUAGAGGAUGAACAGCAAAACGGGAAAGGAGACAAGGAAAAGAAUACUAAGGGAGGCAGAAGAGGGGAAUAUUGGAAAAUGGGAGCAAGAAUGAAAAAGAAAUACCGCGUGGGUGAAGAAGGAAGUCGGGUUGUAAAGCACUUUUGUUGGGAAAGAAAAGCAGAAGGUUAAUAACCCGAUGUACUGACGGUACCAAAAGAAUAAGAAACGGAUAACUUCGUG
rnacentral:rRNA from 1 species